rnacentral:lncRNA from 1 species
GGUUUUCUUCUAGGAUUUUUAUGGUUUUAGGUCUAAAAUUUAAGUCUUUAAUCCAUCUCGAAUUAAUUUUGGUAUAAGGUGUAAGGAAGGGAUCCAGUUUCGGCUUUCUACAUAUGGUUAGCCAGUUUUCCCAGCACCAUUUGUUAAAUAGGGAAUCCUUUCCCUAUUUCUUGUUUUUGUCAGGUUUGUCAAAGAUCAGAUGGUUGUAGAUGUGUGGCAUUACUUCUGAGGGCUCUGUUCUGUUCCAUUGGUCUCUAUCUCUGUUUUGGUACCAGUACCAUGCUGUUUUGGUGACUAUAGCCUUGUAGCAUAGUUUGAAGUCAGGUAGCGUGAUGCCUCCAGCUUUGUUCUUUUGGCUUAGGAUUGACUUGGCAAUGUGGGCUCUUUUUUGGUUCCAUAUGAACUUUAAAGUAGUUUUUUCCAAUUCUGUGAAGAAAGUCAUUGGUAGCUUGAUGGGGAUGCAUUGAAUCUAUAAAUUACCUUGGGCAGUAAGGCCAUUUUCACAAUAUUGAUUCUCCUAUCCAUGAGCAUGGAAUGUUCUUCCAUUUGUUUGUGUCCUCUUUUAUUUCGUUGAGCAGUGGUUUGUAGUUCUCUUUUGUAAGUUGGAUUCCUAGGUAUUUUAUUCUCUUUGAAGCAAUUGUGAAUGGGAGUUCACUCAUGAUUUGGCUCUCUGUCUGUUAUUGGUGUAUAAGAAUGCUUGUGAUUUUUGCACAUUGAUUUUGUAUCCUGAGACUUUGCUGAAGUCGCUUGUCAGCUUAAGGAGAUUUUGGGCUGAGACGAUGGGGUUUUCUAAAUAUACAAUCAUGUCAUCUGCAAACAGGGACAAUUUGACUUCCUCUUUUCCUAAUUGAAUACCCUUUAUUUCUUUCUCCUGCCUGAUUGCCCUGACCAGAACUUCCAACACCAUGUUGAAUAGGAGUGGUAAGAGAGGGCAUCCCUGUCUUGUGCCAGUUUUCAAAGGGAAUGCUUCCAGUUUUUGCCCAUUCAGUGUGAUAUUGGCUGUGGGUUUGUCAUAAAUAGGUCUUUGUGCCUGUAGUCCCAGCUACUCAGGAGGCUGAGGCUGGAGGAUCGCUUGAGUCCAGGAGUUCUGGGCUGUAGUGUGCUAUGCGUAUCGGGUGUCCGCACUAAGUUUGGCAUCAAUAUGGUGACCUCCUGGGAGCGGGGACCACCAGGUUGCCUAAGGAGGGGUGAACUGGCCCAGGUCGGAAACGGAGCAGGUCGAAACUCCCAUGCUGAUCACAUGCUUUUUCUUUCAAAAUUGGGAUCCUUCAGGUUGAGCCAGCCAGAGAAGAUAGCGAGGUGUAAAUCUCUCCAAAAAAGAAACCUUACAAAUUAAAAAAAAAAAACAAAAACAAAUAGCAAAGCAGAAGUUAUUAAGUUAUAUAUCUAUAUAUAAAAAAUAUUUUUAAAAGGUAAAUCAUUUGUCUCAUGACCUAGAAUGAAACUAGCACAAUAAUUACAAAUAAUUUUGUUUGUCUAUAUACAAAAUUUUAGAUUGGUGCCAUUUUAUGAACAAUACUGCACUUUUAUAGUUAUUUUGUGCAAUUUUAUAGUAAUAGAUAUUUCUAGGUUCUCUGGUGUUCUUGUACGUGUUGAUUUCUUGUUCUACAAACUACGUAUUUGUAAAAGUGGGGUAGAGAUUUUAAUUUGUAUGUAUAUAUAAAAGUCUCUAUUCUCCACCCCUCGGCAUUCCUGAACCUGCCUCUCUGAGGAUAAAGCAAUUCAUUUUCUCCCACCCUUAGCCCACUUCUUGCUUUUAAAAUAAACUUCUAAAAAGCAAAAAAAAAAAAAAAAUCAAACACAGUUAACAUUGAUUUUAUUUUCUACUUUGACAACUCAAGUUUUCAUUUCCAAGCAUGGCAAUCAUGUUAUUGUGCUGAGGUUGCCAUAAGAAAAUACCACAGACUGGAUGGCUUAAACAGCAAUUUAUUUUCUCACAGUUCUGAAGACCGAGAAGUUCAAAAUCAUGGUGCUGGCCGAUUCAGUUUCUGGUAAGGGCUGUCUUCCUGGCUUGCUGAGGCUGCCUUCUCACUGUAUCCCCACAUGGUAGAAAGAGAGAGCUCUGGUGUCUCUUCCUUUUCUUGCAAGGGCACCAGUUCUACUGAAUUAUGGCCCCAUGCUUGCAGCCUCAUUUAACUUUUAUCACUACCUUAUAGGCCCUAGCUCCAAAUACUAU